UUUGGCAGAAAAGUAUUAUUUGUGUGCAUUUUGUGUUUUUAGCAAGCUCAUGGAAAACCAGAGAGCGAGACUCACUUCGUGGCCCUUCAUUCCUACGUGUCGUCAAAUCCAGAGGAUCUCAGUUUUCAUCAGGGCGAUACAAUCACACUCCUCUCGAGAGUAAACCAGGAUUGGUUGGAAGGGCAAUGUAAUGGGAAUACUGGUAUAUUUCCUGCAUCCUUUGUGGAAGAAGUUCCUGUCAAUGGGCAGUAAUUCAAAUAAAUAAAUGUAAACAGAAAAGAUAUGAAAGCCAGUAGUACAGUCAAGUGUCCAAAGCUGAGAAGGGGUCAGGUUUCCCCUACUAAAACCAUUUUAGAAUCAGCUCCAUUUGAUUAAUCCGGGCCUACAUUCUUUUAAUUUAUAAAUUAAAUAAAGAAAUCACAAUACAUUUGGACAAGUGUAACAAGUUGCAAUGUUUUUGACAAAAAAACCAUUGGUUUAUAGAUUCUGUGAUGCAGUAAGUAAGGUGAUAAUAAAGUGACAUCUGAUAUUGAUUUAAUAAAAAUGUAUCAUUCCUUACAGUUUCCAGUAAUUUACAAGCAAUAUACAUUUAAUACCUGCAGGUAUGAUGAAAUAUUGUGUUGAGUUAAGUUGUCAUGGAGACGUUCCUUCCUCUUCGUAGGCAAUAGCUAUGCCUCUCCUGCCCUGCACCGCCUUCACAACAGGCGUCUCUCCCAACCUCUGCUCCAAGCCCCGCCAGCUGCGCUCUGCCAGGAACCAUGCUGAGAAAGCACAAGCGUGUAGAGGAAUAAUUUACAAGUGGGUUUGUGCAAGACUAAAAUACAAACUGCUUUUUUCAUUUGCUCACAUGCAAACAAUGUAAGAGUUAUUGUGUGUGCAAAGCUUUUUACAAUAAACUUAAGGAUGUAUGGACACUAAA